UACGUAGGGGGCUAGCGUUGUUCGGAAUUACUGGGCGUAAAGGGCGCGUAGGCGGCCUUCUAAGUCGAACGUGAAAUCCCCGGGCUCAACCCGGGAACUGCGUCCGAUACUGGAAGGCUUGAAUCCGGGAGAGGGAUGCGGAAUUCCAGGUGUAGCGGUGAAAUGCGUAGAUAUCUGGAGGAACACCGGUGGCGAAGGCGGCAUCCUGGACCGGUAUUGACGCUGAGGCGCGAAAGCGUGGGGAGCAAACAGG
rnacentral:rRNA from 1 species